rfam:Taphrina deformans PYCC 5710 genomic scaffold, scaffold00002
GUCUUCGUAGCUCAGUGGUAGAGCAUCAGAUUGCAAAUCUGGUUGUCCCGUGUUCGAUCCACGGCGAGGACU